UGAACAAGCAAGAAAGGGAAUACUAUGAAUACAUAAUUGCUGAAGGGAUGAUGGUGCAAAAACAAACUGGAAAUCUCCUUGAUACAAGUCAAAAAUUGCAAGGCUCAAAAUGGAGUUUUGUUAUGAGUACCUCCAAAAAACUUUAUGCUGGUGAGAAAAGGAAGGGAUCAUUUCAUCAUUCCAGCUUCCUUG